CCUACGGGUGGCAGCAGUGGGGAAUAUUCCACAAUGGGCGCAAGCCUGAUGCAGCCAUGCCGCGUGUGUGAAGAAGGCCUUCGGGUUGUAAAGGACUUUCAGCGGGGAGGAAGGCGGUGAGGUUAAUAACCUCAUCGAUUGACGUUACCCGCAGAAGAAGCACCGGCUAACUCCGUGCCAGCAGCCGCGGUAAUACGGAGGGUGCAAGCGUUAAUCGGAAUUACUGGGCGUAAAGCGCACGCAGGCGGUCUGUCAAGUCGGAUGUGAAAUCCCCGGGCUCAACCUGGGAACUGCAUUCGAAACUGGCAGGCUAGAGUCUUGUAGAGGGGGGUAGAAUUCCAGGUGUAGCGGUGAAAUGCGUAGAGAUCUGGAGGAAUACCGGUGGCGAAGGCGGCCCCCUGGACAAAGACUGACGCUCAGGUGCGAAAGCGUGGGGAGCAAACAGGAGUAGAUACCCGAGUAGUC
rnacentral:rRNA from 1 species